GGUGAACGCUGGCGGUAGGCCUAACACAUGCAAGUCGAACGGCAGCACAGUAAGAGCUUGCUCUUACGGGUGGCGAGUGGCGGACGGGUGAGGAAUACAUCGGAAUCUACUUUUUCGUGGGGGAUAACGUAGGGAAACUUACGCUAAUACCGCAUACGACCUACGGGUGAAAGCAGGGGAUCUUCGGACCUUGCGCGAUUGAAUGAGCCGAUGUCGGAUUAGCUAGUUGGCGGGGUAAAGGCCCACCAAGGCGACGAUCCGUAGCUGGUCUGAGAGGAUGAUCAGCAACACUGGAACUGAGACACGGUCCAGACUCCUACGGGAGGCAGCAGUGGGGAAUAUUGGACAAUGGGCGCAAGCCUGAUCCAGCCAUACCGCGUGGGUGAAGAAGGCCUUCGGGUUGUAAAGCCCUUUUGUUGGGAAAGAAAAGCAGCAGGUUAAUACCCCGCUGUUCUGACGGUACCCAAAGAAUAAGCACCGGCUAACUUCGUG
rnacentral:rRNA from 1 species